UUGGGAUUGGUUGGAACAAAAUAUCAUGAAGACCUUAUCUGUGUUUGAUUCAAAUGAAGAUAUUACUAAUUUUGUACAAGGAAAGAUAAGAGGAUUGAUUGCUGAAGAGGGAAAACAUUCUUUUGCAAAAGAAGAUGAUCCUGAGAAAUUUCGAGAAGCCCUUUUGAAAUUUGAAAAAUGUUUUGGUUUACCAGAGCAGGAGAAGUUAGUGACAUAUUACUCAUGCAGUUAUUGGAAAGGACGGGUUCCUUGUCAGGGAUGGCUCUAUCUUAGCACCAAUUUUCUGAGCUUCUAUUCUUUUUUGUUGGGAUCAGAAAUAAAACUCAUUAUAUCCUGGGAUGCAGUCUCAAAACUUGAAAAGACUUCAAAUGUUAUACUAACAGAGAGUAUUCAUGUGUGUUCCCAAGGGGAGAAUCACUACUUUUCAAUGUUUUUGCAUAUUAAUGAAACAUACCUUCUUAUGGAACAGCUGGCAAACUAUGCCAUAAAGAGACUUUUUGAUAAGGAAACAUUUGCUAAUGACCCAAUCCUUGAUGAUC